rnacentral:rRNA from 1 species
CCUACGGGUGGCAGCAGUGAGGAAUAUUGGUCAAUGGGCGGGAGCCUGAACCAGCCAAGUCGCGUGAGGGAAGACGGUCCUAUGGAUUGUAAACCUCUUUAGGCGGGGAGCAAUGCCGGGCACGUGUGCCCGGAGGGAGAGUACCCGCAGAAUAAGCAUCGGCUAACUCAGUGCCAGCAGCCGCGGUAAUACGGAGGAUGAGAGCGUUAUCCGGAUUAAUUGGGUUUAUAGGCUGCGUAGGCGGAUUUUUAAGUCAGCGGUAAAAUGUGCGGGCUCAACCAGAGCCGGCAGUUGAAACUGGAGAUCUUGAGUGGGCGAGAAGUAAGCGGAAUGCGUGGUGUAGCGGUGAAAUGCGUAGAUAUCACGCAGAACUCCAGUUGCGAAGGCAGAAUGCCGGCGCCUGACUGACGCUGAGGCACGAAAGCGUGGGGAUCGAACAGGAUUAGAUACCCGGGUAGUC